rnacentral:lncRNA from 1 species
CCCCACAAGAUUAAAGAAGAGUUAAAGCAAGAAUCCUCAUGACAAGGGGUGGCUACUCUGGCAUUUUCAAGUCUUGAGGUUGCUGUUUUCCAGGGGGUGAUGUGAUAUGACCCUAGCCAACAUGUAGAGCUGGUUUUGUGGACUGUGCCUGUGUGCUUGUGAGAAAGCAGAGCAACAGAGGGAGGCAGAGUUAGAGCUAGUUGCAGAAGGAAAGGCAAUUUUUGAAGUUUGUUCAGAGCCCCAGAGGCAGGAUGGCUAAGGGCCUUCUGGGGUCCUCCUACUGCUGUUGCUGUACUCAGCCUUGCCUGGGACAUGUGUACAUCCCCCAAAGAACUGCUGUGCCAUCGUGAACCAACAGAGAAGAGAGGGGAGGAGAACACCUCCUAGUCAAUAACAUAUAUGCAUUUAAUAAGAAAUGCC